GCUGGGACGUUGUUCAGUGGUAGAGCACUCGCCUAGUGUGUGUGAGGUCCGGGUUCAUCCCCAGCACAGCA
rnacentral:tRNA from 1 species